UACAUGUGACUGGGCAGGCUUAGGGCACUUCUAGGGCCUAUGGGAAGAAAAAACUCUGGAAGUGCAGUCUAGCUAGAAUGCUAACUCCAAGCCUGAGUAAGAACGACAAGUCCACAGAGUGGAAGAGUAUUUAGCAAUAAGAAGAAAUGAACUACCAAGCCACAAAAAAGACAUAGAAAGACCUUAAAUGCUUAUUGUUAAGUGAAAGAAGCCAAUCCCAAAAGGCCACAUAGUGUAUAAUUCCAAUUCUAAAUACUCUGGAAAAGGCAGAAGACGGAGAUAGUGAAAAGGGCUGAAGAAAAAUAACCCCCGACCUAGAAUUCUGAACCCAGGUAAACCGACAGCCAAACGUGCGGGAGAAAUAAAGCCGUUCCGGAUGCACACCACCUAGGCGCAUGUAUUAGAGCGGAGCCUCCCUGAAGGAGCAGCCAGAGAGAGCGAAGGGGAAGCCGGGGACACCCUGCGCCGCCGCAGCCUCCUCUGGCCCCAGCGGAAGGCGCCCUCGGUUACUAGGUCCUUCCUCGGGAAGCCCGCAGGCAUCUCCAGCCGCGCGCAGUCCUGGGCGCUCCCGCCGCCGCCCACCGAGGCACAGGCGCCUUCUCCGUGAGCCGGGCCCCAGGCACCGCCACUCAGCUCUGCGACGGCCCCGUGCGGCCCCAGCCCGCCCUCGCCUCCUCACCCUGGGGAGCCACCUGUCCACUUCGGAGCUGCUGUCACAGCCCCACCAGCUCCGGCGCUGGGAUUAUAGGCGUGAGCCACCGCGCCCAUUCCCCCAUCACUUGUUAUUCCCUUGCUCAGUUUUCAUAACAGUCCUUAUUAGGUAUGCAUUAGAGUAAUACCGAAUUUUGUCAAUGAUGCUCUCCCUCCCUAGGAUGGAAGCCCCAUGAAGGCAGACACUUCAUCUGUCUUGUUCUAUGUGCCGGGUGCUUACUCACCAAUCAAAAGUAUUUGUUGAAUAAAUGGAUGAAUAAACAGUAAACAAAGA